AAAUAUCCAAAGCAGAGAAGAAGGAGGGUUCAUGGAAUGCACAUAGGGACCACACAUCUCAAAGAACCUCCAAUUAUAAGGUAGAAGGACAGAGUACAUCAUACACUGAGGGAGUGAAGUCUCCUCUCAUCAGAUGCAUGCAGUUUUUGGGGAAAAAAACCCAGACACCACACAUGCAGCAACAGAAAGCGUUGAAUGAACCUUGUGAGCUUCUCUGCCUGCUUGGAGUUCCGGAAGAUUGGUGUGCAUCUUGAGGUGUUCAAGUGCCCUGUGCCAUAUGAUUAUCCAUGUGGGCUCCCCAGCCUAAGAGAGAGGCAUCAGUGAGGAUCAUCUUGUGUGGCAAAGAUGGAAGAAAAUCAAAGGAAAGCUCCAGACACUGGAGGGUCUGAUACAGGCCAUGUGACAGUAAGAAGAAAUUGGAAAGGUGGUCAGUCUGCUCCACCCUUUAUGCCUUCACUGAAAAGCAUAAGGAAGGCCAGGACGCAUGCGUGAACCAACAGACAGUGCUUCCAAGAAUUCUCUGAUUCCAGAAAUCUCCCUACCUCUUCCUGGGCCUGAAGAAGAGGAUACAGCUGGGAAAACAUGCAAGAAGCCCCACAUGCUGCCUCUGGGAUAAGAGGGCUAACCUGAAUCAGCCCCACAGAGGCCUAUUCCCUACUCUGUGACUGGCCUUUGCUUUCUGAACUUUGAGUAGGGCAUUCAAGGGCCUGAUCCGAAGCGUACAGAAUUCAAUGGAAACUCUCUCCUUGAUACCAGUGGGCUUUGGAUCAGGUCUCAAGUGGGGUUUGUGAAGUUGCAACAUGACCUGAGACCCCCGGUGGCAGAAGGUGAUAGUGCAGCCAAUAGUACAGCACCCACACUAUUGAUACUUGCCAGUCUCCAUAGCAUGGCUGACAACUGGUCAUAAACCUAUCAGACCCUAAUUGCCAACUGUGCUUAAUAAUGCUUGAUAAAUAUUACUAAAUUUCGGUUGAUAAUGUUGCUCCAUAUUUCAGAACUGUAUAAAAACUGCCCACUAUUUAGAAAAGGAGAUUCCAUAUGGAACAAUACCAGGCAGAUCCAAGAGUUGUCCAAUAUAUUCUUUUCCUUUGCCUUUCUUUCAUUUCACCACUUCUGCUCAUAUGUAUUGUUACUUCUAUUGCUGAGUUAGAGGCAUAAUCCUAUAAGAACAAGACUGUACAAAAUAAGUGACUGAUUAUAUUCACACUGAAGUCAAGAUUAUUAGUGUUUAGAUUGUGGUGGCAUAAUGUGCCAGACAUUUCCAAACUCAGAGCAAGACAAAAUCGCUAUUCAAAUCGCAUACAGUUUAAAUGGUUACCAUCUGAAUUCAAAGGGAGAUUUAACGAUAGAAGACAGGGCCUUAAUACAGAAAAAGGUACAAAACAGUGCAUUUUACAAUUGUCAUGGAUUUAUUUGACAUCACCCUUGCAAUUUAUAUUAAUCUCAUGCUGAAUAACCAACUUGUUCUUUACCUGGUUUCAUACUUCUCAUGCCUGUGCAAUAUUUGAUUUUAUUACAUAUAUGUCUCAAAGUAUAAAAAAUAAGAGAAACCACUUCCAGUCUUUCCAUCUUUUAAAGGUUAUCAACUUGGCCAUUUCUUGCUUCCACUCCUGUUGGACCAUUCCUGCAGCCCAGCCUAAGUAUGUACAACAAGAAGGAAGGUCUGGUAUCCAGCAUCAAUCUAUCAUUGUAAAAAAUCUUUCCUGAAUUGUACAAUACCUGUACUGGGCCCCACAAAGAACUUGGUUACAAGUUGGCCACUUUCGUUUUCCCUAUAUUUAAGCAGCACAAUGGGAUUCAAAUGAUUUCCGUACAUUAUUUUAAAAUAAACUCACUUUGGAUUG